rnacentral:rRNA from 1 species
AUUGAACGCUGGCGGCAGGCCUAACACAUGCAAGUCGAGCGGAUGAAGGGAGCUUGCUCCUGGAUUCAGCGGCGGACGGGUGAGUAAUGCCUAGGAAUCUGCCUGGUAGUGGGGGAUAACGUCCGGAAACGGGCGCUAAUACCGCAUACGUCCUGAGGGAGAAAGUGGGGGAUCUUCGGACCUCACGCUAUCAGAUGAGCCUAGGUCGGAUUAGCUAGUUGGUGGGGUAAAGGCCUAACAAGGCGACGAUCCGUAACUGGUCUGAGAGGAUGAUCAGUCACACUGUAACUGAGACACGUUCCAGACUCCUACGGGAGGCAGCAGUGGGGAAUAUUGGACAAUGGGCGAAAGCCUGAUCCAGCCAUGCCGCGUGUGUGAAGAAGGUCUUCUGAUUGUAAAGCACUGUAAGUUGGGAGGAAGUGCAGUAAGUUAAUACCUUGCUGUUUUGACGUUACCAACAGAAUAAGCACCGGCUAACUUCGUG